CUGUUGAUGCUUGUUUUUUAUUUUUAUUUUGCCAUUUAAAUAGGCCAUCACUUCUCAAAAUAACUUUAUGACUUUAAUGCUUUGUCUAGACCCACAUUGCAUAAAUCAAUUUUGCCCUGUAUUGUUAAAUGUUAGAAUAUCAAAUUUAAUCAAAAGACUGUUAUGUGGGAUGUAUUUGCUAGCUCUAUGUCUAUCUCUCCUCCUUUAUCCGGGCUUGGGACCAGCAAAGUGACCCAAAACAGACACUCUGGCAGAGUUACAACAUUAACAAUCUAAGUGGACCAAAAAGAGACAACAGAAAAAACUGUCAAUGGCAAUCUGAGAAAAUGGUGGUAACUAGUCUGGCCCUAAUUCAGGUUUAUUGUUUGUUUUUUUCAGACCCCCUUCCACACACACGCUGUGCUGGCUCACAGAAAGAGUAGGUCAUCUUUCUAUAGCAGGUUCAGCAACUGAGGGAGCUGACUUAAACGAGUAAGCAGCUGAUGUGCCAAAAAGCUGCAAAACAUUAUCAGUUGUCCUGCCAUUUGUUGGUUUUGUUCAGUGCCGAUCACCUAUUCAGGUGAAAUGUGUAACCGGAGUUUGUUGCCCAUUUUCUGCGCCAGGGGAAAAAAAUGUUCUGCCCGUGUUUGCGUGGGUUGUCUCCGUGUACUCCGGCUUCCUCCCACUGUCCAAAGAUACGCGGUUUAGGUUGAUUGGAUUGGAGACUCUAAAUUGCCCGUGUGUGUGUGUGUGUGUGUGUGUGUGGUUGUUCGUCUGCGCUUAGCCGUGACAUGGUCCUGCGACCUGUCCAGGGUGUACCCCAUUCGGGACUAAGCGAAGAACCAAGUGGAAAUGGAGCCAAUGACAUGGAAUGAUCUGGCCAGAGGGUAUGAGAGGGCAGGUGAUGAGCUGGGCCGUUUGCGCCUGAUUAUGGAGACUUAAACAGACGUGGGGAGACGGAGAUCUGCCAGAGGGUGGAGAAGCCGGUGCACCGUUGUAACUCCGCCUCGGGGAAGCGACAGGCGCUGGUCAGAGGUGGAGAGGGAGGGAGACGGCGUGGGGGCGCCGAUAAUCUCUGGAGCCAUGAUCCCUUGUCGUGCGAUCAAAGAACGAACCGGCACUGGGGUGGUGUUCGUCUGACGGUUUUAUGGCGUGGUGCUAAUCAGCUGGGAUAGAAAACAGCUGUGCCGUAAGCCUGGUCUGCCUCGUUCUGUCAAGAGAAGAGUGGAGAGGGAGAGAGCAGGGAGAGGAGAGAGAGGUGGCACGGAGCAUACCUGACACAGGACUGCAGAGACUGAGCCCACUGAAGAGGAAAAUGAAAAUGGUUCCUCUCCUGGAAAUGAAUGAAUAAGAGCGCAGAGGAAAACGAAGAAGGCUCCUCCUGGAAAUUAAUGAAUAAUUAAUACUCCUAUAAAAUAACAUUAUCGACGCUAUCAUCGCUACCAUAAGCUUUCCGAAAGAAAAUAUGGAAACCGUUAGAGAUUUGGCCAGAAGGAGUGAGGAGGUGGCCAGAGGGCUUGAGGAGGUGGCCGCCGGAUAUAGAGAGCUGGCCACCGGAUGGCAGAGGGAACGUGAGGACCGACUACGCAUGACCAGGGCGAUGCUCCAACCCCGCGAUGCCUACGGCGCCAUGGCCAGAUGGGUCGCGGAACGGAUCCGGGAUUGCGACAA